UGAGUGGAAGGACCCUCCAGUACGAGAGGAACGUGGGUUCGCAGCCUCUGGUCUACCAGUUGUUAUGAGCAGGCUGGGCAGCUACGCUGUAUACUGAUAAGUGCUGAAAGCAUCUAAGCACGAAGCAGUCCGCAAAACGAAUCAACAUAUGCCGCGGAAAAAGACCGCGUUGAUAG
rnacentral:rRNA from 1 species